AACGAACGCUGGCGGCGUGUUUAAGACAUGCAAGUCACACGGUGUCAUUUUGGUAGCAAUACUUGCAUGGCAUAGUGGCGCACGGGUGAGUAACACGUGAAUUACAUGCCCUGUAGAGGGGGAUAGCCCAGGGAAACUUGGAUUAAUACCCCAUGGUCUCGCAAGAGUAAAGGUGGCCGCAAGGCUGUCGCUACAGGAUUGGUUCGCGUCCUAUCAGCUUGUUGGCGGGGUAACGGCCCACCAAGGCUACGACGGGUACCUGGUCUGAGAGGACGAUCAGGCACACUGGAACUGAGACACGGUCCAGACACCUACGGGUGGCAGCAGUCGAGAAUAAUGCACAAUGGGGGCAACCCUGAUGUGCAACGCCGCGUGGAGGAUGACGGUCUUCGGAUUGUAAACUCCUGUCAUCCGGGAGUAAGACCUGGGAGUUAAUAGCUCACAGGGUUGAUAGUACCGGAAGAGGAGGGGACGGCUAACUUCGUGCCAGCAGCCGCUGUAACAC
rnacentral:rRNA from 1 species